UGACAAUCUAUGGAGAGUUUAUAAGGUUC
rnacentral:sRNA from 1 species